rnacentral:piRNA from 1 species
UGAACUAGACUGCUUUGAGAUCUCA